GCACAAAUGGUCAAGGAUCUGGCAGGGUUGGUGGUUCAAUUUCCUUGUACGAUUUUGUAAGAAGCAGCAGAAGAAUCACUAAUUCCGGGUAGACAUGCCUCUUUAGACUUUAGUGAUGUAAACAAGUCACACGAGGUGAAAUAACAUCAGUUGCUGUCCCAUGAACAUUAUGGCAUAUUGCAGAAGCUGGCUUGUCUAGAUCAAUUGAGGUAAUGUUGAUUUGUUGCAGCUUAAUAUUGUCACACCCUAUCUUGGCACAGUCAAGCACAACUGCAUGCUCAUUGGUACAUGUGCCAUGUAUGUUCCUGAAUGUAACGUCAGUAACUUCUAAUGCUUCCUUCUGCAGCCAAAAUAAAAGGGGGAAACUAUGAUGCAGAUUGUCACCAAACAAAUCAACAAAUAACAAGCAAUAAGAAAGAAUGUUAACCUUUUCUGGAGUCCUCAUGUAAUGUUGGUCAAUAUACACCGGGUAAUUUGUUUGAUUCACUAUGAUAUUCUCGUAGAUGAUAGCCUUGGCGUACCCUUUUCCACCCUUCAUAGUAAGUAGAAAGCAUUUUUAUUAAUUAAAUUUAAAAUACAAAUAUAUUAUUGUAAAUUAUUUAGAAAAAAACUAGCAAAGUACAGCUUAAUACUCUUUUCGUUAUAUUCAUUUUUCAUAGUUCAAAUUAAUAUCAGAUCUACUAAAUUAUACAGCUCCAUUCUCAUUUUGUCGGAUCAUGCUUGAAAUUUAAUAUAAAUUUCUACUUAAUAAAAAAGUUAUAAUGGAAAGAAUGUAUUAGAAAGUGGUAGCAUUUACCGGCCAUGUUUUGAUUCUAGCUGCACUAUCACCUCCAUUGAAUGUGCAAUUCCUAACAUUCACAUGUUCUGCGAAUUCCUCUUCUCCAUUUUCCCCUAGACUCCCCACACUGCAUCAAAAUUGAAAAUUUUAAGGCAUGCGGACAAAUUACUCAUUUAUAAAACUUCAAUUUUGGGUGAAAAAGAUUUUUUUAAUUUUUGCAAAUCUAAGUCCCCUAACUUGUGCAUAUAUGGCAAGGUCAGAUGGUAACAAUAUUGACAAACCUAAUCCCGUGACCAGGUCCACAAGUAACAUGGCUAAUGUUGAUGAAUCGUGAGCCACCUUUGAUGGCAAUACAGUCAUCACCUAAAAUCACACACGCAACACAUAGAUCAAAAUUGUAGAAUUACCUACUUAGAGAGAAACAAUCUGCAAAAAUAAGGGCAAGAUCAGAAAAUGAUAAUUAGUGGGUGAAGGUUUAUGUGAAACAUGUAUAUUUACCGCUCCCUAUUAUUGAGUUACGAAUGUUAACCCGAACUGUGUUUGAGAUAUCAAUUCCAUCAGUGUUGUGACUAAUUCCUUUUGGUGAAUUUAUGUGAACUCCUGAGAUUGUUACAUCUCGGCUGUGAACCACAAAGAUAUGCGAUGCUGGCCCGUUUAUGUGAGUGAGUCUACUUAUUUGAAGCCCAUCACAUCUUUCAAAUAGCAGAGCCUGCAAAUUCUCCAUUGCAAACAUAUCACUAUUAUUUGAACCAAAAAAAAACUUCUUAUCAGUUCUUUUAUGAUGAUGGAGACAAGAAAGAUGGAGGCAAGGAGGAAAGAGUGAGUGGAUGCAGGGGCCAUGGCUGACAAUGUGACGGACCUGGCUACAAUGGUGGAGAGAUUGAAGUGGUGAAGGUUCAGAUUGGUCUGGAAGCAGGGAGAAAGACAGAGAGAAAGGAGAGUAAAGUCUGAAAUAUCCUUUGUACAAAGUCUUUAAUACCCCUGGUCCACCGGUGGACCAAAAACAAAGUUGCACACCCUAGUGGGCACCACAAUUAAAUACUACUAUUAAAAGUUAAUGCAAUUCGGCAUUCAUUUUAAUUUUUAAUGGAAAAAUAUAAUUAGACAAAAUUUUCAUG